ACUUAAGUAGUUUAAUUAAAAUAUUGAUUUGUGGUGUCAAGGAUAUAAUGGUUGAUUAUCUUAGGUU
rnacentral:tRNA from 1 species